CAUGUGGUAAAAUUGUGGUACGCAGGUUAAUAUUAAUCUACUCUUCCUUUUCUUUUUGACUGCAUGUUUAGCUUUUCAUUUAAAUGUCGAUGUGACUCCUACAAGGUCAUACGUUUGUUACUUCGGUACUAUGCCCAUGCAACAACUUUUUCAUGUCUAUCUCCCAAAUUCAACCACCAAUGUUAAUUUCACGUCAGGCACAGUUCCUACCAAUGGCACACUCACUGUUUCUUUCAGCCUAUAACUGUUAAAGUACUUUGUUCUAUGUUAUGAUUCUAGGCUCCUCAGCUUUUCCUUCAAGUAAAACUUCGGGAAGUGUCAACCUGGUAUCUUGUCCUGCAUUAUCAGGUAUAGAAAUUCACUCAUUA